UACUGUGAUUUAAAUCCGAUGUUGUCUGCGUCUUCUAGACAUCGGCAGCUCCACAGUAACCUGCUCUUGUUUUCUUCCUACUACCCGCUCAUAAUGUAAAACAUUAUAGGCUGUAUUACGUAAUGCUGCCUUUUCUGUGUCUUUUCAUUGAGGACGCAAACAUUUUGUUUAAAUAAACGUUAUUGUAAUUGUCAAUGAACAUAACUUUUUAUAUACAGUCUAUGGAACAUAACCGACCGUGGGUUCCGUGCUACGUUUAGUGUGGGCUAUUGAUCCGUACAGUGGGCUUAAAUGUCACAGGAUCGAGCAGUGCAGAAACAGAAAGGCUGCUUAACGUGUAGCGUGACACACAACUUACUAGAUCAAUAAAAUCUUACCGUCUCUGCCCAGAUGAACCAACCAACUAGAAACGCAUUUAACAUUAUCGGUUUUAUUUUGAAGCCUGACCGGAAACCCUCUUAUAUAUUGCAGCGACGUUUACUUGUGUUUCCAGUUUACCCUCCUCCCCUCUUUAACUUUGAUGAGCCUGUUUCUUUCCUGUUAUCUCCAUUCAAAUAAAGGACGCCAAUGGGUCACACAGACACUGCUGUCGUUGACAACAUGUGGACAUUUUUCUCUUUACUAUUUGAAUCGUGAUGGAUUCACGUGGACGUAUGGAUACAGUUGGCGAGGACGACAGGCGGAGACGCACGAGGAGCGCGCGAGCCUCCUGCAGACAACAAGCCAGAGCACGAGCCGACGAGGCGAAAGUGCUGCGGUGUCUUAGCGUGGGAAACACGGGAAAGGACAAUGACAUGGGGGAGGACACUGGUCUCUUCAAGCAGGAUAACCUGGAGCGGAGGAUCAUGGCGCCCCGCUACAGCCUGCUGCGGGAGGUGGGAAGGGGCACAUACGGCGUGGUGUACGAGGCGGUGGCCCGGAGGUCUGGUGCUAAAGUUGCCGUGAAGAAACUGCGCUGCGACGCGCCGGAAAACGUGGAGCUCGCCUUGCAGGAGUUCUGGGCGCUAGCAAGUCUGGAGAAACGGCAUCAAAAUGUGGUCCAGCUGGAAGAGUGUGUGCUGCAGAGGAAUGGCAUGGCCCAGAAAAUGAGUCAUGGGAACAAACGGUCCAAACAGUACCUGCGUCUCGUGGAGACUUCACUAAAAGGUGAGAGAGUGCUUGGUCCUCAAGAAGAGCCUUGUUACUUGUGGUUCGUCAUGGAGUUCUGUGAAGGUGGUGACCUCAAUCAGUUCAUCCUGUCCCGGCGGCCUGACCCGGAAACCAACAAUAGCUUUAUGCUCCAGCUGACCAGUGCUGUCGCUUUCCUGCAUGAAAACAACAUUGUCCACAGGGACCUCAAACCUGACAACAUCCUCAUCUCGGAGAAGUCAGGGGCUCCAGUUCUUAAGGUGGCCGACUUUGGCCUGAGUAAAGUAUGCGCUGGUUUAGGAAACUCCUGCGAAGGCAAAGAAGGCGACGACAAGAACAAACACGUCAACGUCAACAAGUUUUGGUUGUCAUCGGCUUGCGGCUCAGACUUCUUUAUGGCUCCCGAGGUGUGGGAGGGCCACUACACAGCCAAGGCUGACAUAUUUGCCUUAGGCAUCAUCAUCUGGGCCAUGGUGGAGAGAAUUACUUUCAUUGACUCUGAAUCUAAGCGGGAGCUGCUGGGUACAUAUGUGAGACAAGGAGCAGACAUUGUGCCGGUGGGUGAGGCACUGCUAGAGAACCCAAAGAUGGUACUGAACAUCCCACAGAAACGCAGGUCAUGCAUGUCUGAUGGAGUGAGGAAGCUGCUGCGUGACAUGCUCGCUGUCAACCCUCAGGACCGGCCUGAUGCUUUUGAGCUGCAGGCCAGAAUGGACCGGGUUACGUGUGCUACAUGACUCUCAACCAGAUUGUUAUACAGGGCGAUGGGGAGGAGUGCAUAUUAUAAAAGCGGGGCGGGGGUAGGAGCUGCAAAGAUCCCAGUUGACCUUCCUGCUCUGCUUUCUGCCUGGUGGAAUGUUUCUACUCUCUCAGCCAACAAAUGAGUGUACAUGUUUCAGCCUGGAGCUGCUAAAUCAUUGAGGCUCUCCCUGUUUUAAACUGAAGAAUGUAAAGGUAAAAGAGAUGCAAUGGAACAUCCAGAAGGUUGGAUACUGGAAUGGAGAUUUUUUUGUUGUUGUUUUUGUUUGUUUUUGUUUUACUUGUUUAGAGUGAAAGUAUCUGCCAAUUCUGAUAGAGAACGUUUGUCUUUCCCAGAAUAUUAUAAUAAAGCAAGAAACAUCACACCUGCUGCUUAAUGGGAAGCUUGCUUUUAAACUCACAUAGCCAUGCCUAUCAAAGAAUAAAAGUCUGGAGAAAUUCCCAUCACAGAACUUGAGAUAGUGACACUGUGCAAAGGACACCACGGAGAGUGCAGCGAUGGACUCCAAAUUAAAGCUAAGCUGCAGCUUUAGUUUAUAUACAUAUGUGUUCACAGGGGUGAUCGUCUCCAUAUGUCGGCCCCUUAUUCAGAUGUUUUACUUUGCUGCCCGUUAGGAUUGUAUUCCACGUGCUUAACUGUCUUGUUGUUGGUUCAUUUCCUGUAGAUCGCCUGUCGUUACAACAGUGAUCUAGUAAACAUAAUUGCCUGCGUCAGAUUUGUGUAUGGCUUUAUGUAAUGACAAAAGCGAGUGUCACCUUCCCUUUUUUGUUGUUGGGUUUACAUUUCUUCUGUUGGUUUACACCGAGGUAUAAGUCAUGGUUAGUCUUUGGGAGUCGGUCACGUGUAAAAUCCACUGUCACAAUAUAUGUAAUUUUGUGUGUGUGUGUGAGAUGGUACAGUAAAUUGUCUGGGAAUUCAGUUGACACUGGCUAAUCCAGUGACUUAAAUACUUGCAAAAAUCCUGUAAAUGUGGUUCUGUGAUGAAGUAGUCAUGCUCAUUUAACCACAGCAUUGCCUGUAAAAGUGAUAGUUACCUUUAGUAUAAACAAUGGAGCCGAAUUUAUAAUGGUUGACAAAUUACUAUAGUCUCAAAAAUUUACAUAUCGCCCAACCCCAUUAGCCACUGGAUAAUUCCAGAUAUUUUCAGCCUGGGUUUUGUUUUCCAAAUGAAACCGUCUCACUGUGGUCAUGUUUUGACAGAUCACUUAAGCUGCUGUCCGGUACAGUCCAAAGGGGAUCAAUGGAAACAAAAUCAAAACAAAUCAUCCACAAGCUGCCACCCUUAAUUUCACGGCAUUUAACUGCUGCACCAUUUUUUUAUUAUUUUUUUUUUAUGGUAUUGUUGGGCAUUGUUGACACGCAACUUAUUUAUUCUGCCACCUUUCAUCAGUUCACAUCAGUGUUGCAAACAGUCCCUCCAUUUAGUGCUCAGAUAUGCAUCUUCAGUGAAACACCGUUAGCAGUACAUUUCGGAAAACUAAAGUGAAAAAAGUAGAAAAGUAAGAAAUAUUCCCCAAAGUAGAUGUGAUAGAAUGAAUGUUAAUUUAUAUCUGGAGACAUGUAAGCUUUUCACAUGCCCCAUGUUAUUUCACUCCACUCCCCAGUGCGCAGAGCAGGUUAUUUGGCCUGUCAUUUAACUUAUUUUUUACACUUUGUAAUUUGAUUUCUACUGAAUUCUUGAUACCUAUGGUGCCUUGAAAUUGCUUGUCAGGUUAAAUGUGGCUCGAGAGAAACUGCUUUGAUUUGAUCUGACACUAAUAAUAAAUAAUUCAGGAUAUAUGGUCUGGAUGUUUUAGUUUCUUCAGUCUUUAGAAUUUAAGUAUGGAAGGGGAACGAAAAAUGUAAUAUGCGCGCUAAGGAAGUGCCUAUGUGGUCAUUGGGAAUGAGAUGUGAAUUGAUUAUUUUUUGCAUUUAACUGUUCUGUGGACCAUUUAUUUGUUGAGUAAAAUCACGGUUUCAAAGGGAGCUGAAGACUUUGUGUUUAAACAGGUUCCAUUCAUGUUAAAGGUGCAAAGCCCCAGAGUUAUUUCAUAACGUUUACGUGCAUUAUAGGUUCUAAACUGUGAUGUGGAUUUGUUUCUUGUUGAGAAAUCAUUAUAAUAGUAAUGUAAGUGUUGGUGAAAUAUUGCUUGUAAUUGUGCCUGUGAUCAAAAGUGAAAUGUAAAAUAACAAGUUUAGAAGCAUUUUGGAACAAUUAUACAGUGAACCACAGCUGGAUACUGAGAUUUUUGCUGUGAACCAAAGGUCAGAAGACGGGCAGAAACAGAAUGGAAGAAUUUGCUGAAGUUUCUUAUAUGUUGAGCUAAACUGGGAACCUGAGUUAUUUAAAUUUGAUUGUACUACCUCAUGUCUCUGCACAUUUUCACCUUUUCUUUACUAAGCCAUUGUUUCAUUUUUUCCACCGUAGACAUACCACAGUUGGAGACAAAACCUGUCAGAUUUCAAAGCAACAGCUAUUUAUUUCAUGUCACCACAGUUUUUGUUGGGUGUGUGCAGCUUUCCUUGGAUUGCAAACGCAUCGCAUGGGUUUGGAAUAAGCAACACAGCCAUUGGUUGUCUGUCAGUGGCCUGGCUGUUUCUUUCUGUUUUUACCGAUGCAUUGUGAGAAAUGGGUUUACUUCGGUGCUGAUGUUUACCCAUCUUUAGCUAAACACAGGCCAUGAUGUACUUUGGUUAAUUUAUUGAACUGUGAAAAACUUACCUCAGUUCCUCAACUUCGUCUCAUUAAUGUGUGGAUAUUUGAUUGUGCGGUGUGGAGAUGAUAAUCUUGAGCUGAGAUGAUCAACAAGUUUUUAUUUAAUUUUUUGUUUUGUUUUUUUCUUCUGAAGAUUUAGUGAUUUCUUUUAUUUUACUUAUUCACUCAAAAUAUUCCCUUCCAUACCCAUGUAGCUGCCUGUGGAUGGUUUCCUUUGGUGUUGGAAUAAUGUACCUGUGUGCAGGAACACAGUGCUUGACUAAACUCUAAUGAUUAAUAGGUCACUUGUUUUACAUGCACCACUCUUCUAUGCAACGCUGCCUCGCUGGAUAAACUGGAACAAUCCAGGCCUGGCUGGUCUUCUGCUUCUCAUCCUGACAGACUUUACUAACUGCAUCUUGUUGUGUUCAGAUGGGACCCUAAAUUUCAGUCCUUGGUUGUACAUGUUAAUAAAACCAUUUGCUUGAUUGAAAACAUGUUUUUUUUAAUUGUUUACUUUCAGGGUUCUGUUUCAAUAAAAGUUGGAAAUACC